rnacentral:rRNA from 1 species
UACGUGCCAGCAGCCGCGGUAAUACGUAGGGCGCAAGCGUUAUCCGGAAUUAUUGGGCGUAAAGAGCUCGUAGGCGGUUUGUCGCGUCUGCUGUGAAAACCCGAGGCUCAACCUCGGGCCUGCAGUGGGUACGGGCAGACUAGAGUGCGGUAGGGGAGAUUGGAAUUCCUGGUGUAGCGGUGGAAUGCGCAGAUAUCAGGAGGAACACCGAUGGCGAAGGCAGAUCUCUGGGCCGUAACUGACGCUGAGGAGCGAAAGGGUGGGGAGCAAACAGGCUUAGAUACCCUGGUAGUCCACCCCGUAAACGUUGGGAACUAGUUGUGGGGUCCAUUCCACGGAUUCCGUGACGCAGCUAACGCAUUAAGUUCCCCGCCUGGGGAGUACGGCCGCAAGGCUAAAACUCAAAGGAAUUGACGGGGACCCGCACAAGCGGCGGAGCAUGCGGAUUAAUUCGAUGCAACGCGAAGAACCUUACCAAGGCUUGACAUAUACGAGAACGGGCCAGAAAUGGUCAACUCUUUGGACACUCGUAAACAGGUGGUGCAUGGUUGUCGUCAGCUCGUGUCGUGAGAUGUUGGGUUAAGUCCCGCAACGAGCGCAACCCUCGUUCUAUGUUGCCAGCACGUAAUGGUGGGAACUCAUGGGAUACUGCCGGGGUCAACUCGGAGGAAGGUGGGGAUGACGUCAAAUCAUCAUGCCCCUUAUGUCUUGGGCUUCACGCAUGCUACAAUGGCCGGUACAAAGGGCUGCAAUACCGCAAGGUGGAGCGAAUCCCAAAAAGCCGGUCCCAGUUCGGAUUGAGGUCUGCAACUCGACCUCAUGAAGUCGGAGUCGCUAGUAAUCGCAGAUCAGCAACGCUGCGGUGAAUACGUUCCCGGGUCUUGUACACACCGCCCGUCAAGUCAUGAAAGUCGGUAACACCUGAAGCCGGUUGCCCAACCCUUGUGGAGGGAGCCGUCGAAGGUGG